CAGCCGCCGCGGGAAUACGUAGGUGGCAAGCGCUGUCCGGAAUUAUUGGGCGUAAAGCGCGCGCAGGUGGUUUAAUAAGUCUGAUGUGAAAGCCCACGGCUCAACCGUGGAGGGUCAUUGGAAACUGUUAAACUUGAGUGCAGGAGAGAAAAGUGGAAUUCCUAGUGUAGCGGUGAAAUGCGUAGAGAUUAGGAGGAACACCAGUGGCGAAGGCGGCUUUUUGGCCUGUAACUGACACUGAGGCGCGAAAGCGUGGGGAGCAAACAGGAUUAGAUACCCCAGUAGUCCCUGUCUCUUAUAA
rnacentral:rRNA from 1 species